rnacentral:rRNA from 1 species
UACGGAGGGUGCAAGCGUUAUCCGGAUUUACUGGGUGUAAAGGGAGCGUAGACGGUUACGCAAGUCUGGAGUGAAAGGCGGGGGCCCAACCCCCGGACUGCUUUGGAAACUGUAUAACUGGAGUGCAGGAGAGGUAGGUGGAAUUCCUAGUGUAGCGGUGAAAUGCGUAGAUAUUAGGAGGAACACCGGUGGCGAAGGCGGCCUGCUGGACUGUGACUGACGUUGAGGCCCGAAGGCGUGGGGAGCAAACAGG